UAGGGAAUAUUGCACAAUGGGCGAAAGCCUGAUGCAGCAACGCCGCGUGCGCGAUGAAGGCCUUCGGGUUGUAAAGCGCUUUUCGGGGAGAUGAGGAAGGACAGUAUCCCCGGAAUAAGGCUCGGCUAACUACGUGCCAGCAGCCGCGGUAAAACGUAGGAGCCAAGCGUUAUCCGAAUUCACUGGGCGUAAAGCGCGUGCAGGCGGCUCAGUAAGUUGGAUGUGAAAUCUCCUGGCUCAACUGGGAGAGGACGUUCAAUACUGUUGGGCUAGAGGGCGACAGAGGGAGGUGGAAUUCCCGGUGUAGUGGUGAAAUGCGUAGAUAUCGGGAGGAACACCAGUGGCGAAGGCGAUCUUCUGGUCUGUUUCUGACGCUCAGAGGCGAAAGCUAGGGGAGCGAACGGGAUUAGAAACCCCGGUAGUCCUAGCUAUAAACGAUGGAUACUGGGUGUCAGUGGUCCUAACCCCAUCGGUGCCGAAGCUAACGCGUUAAGUAUCCCGCCUGGGGACUACGGCCGCAAGGUUA
rnacentral:rRNA from 1 species